rnacentral:rRNA from 1 species
UCCAUAGGUUAAUGAGGCGAACCGGGGGAACUGAAACAUCUAAGUACCCCGAGGAAAAGAAAUCAACCGAGAUUCCCCCAGUAGCGGCGAGCGAACGGGGAGGAGCCCAGAGCCUGAAUCAGCAUGUGUGUUAGUGGAAGCGUCUGGAAAGGCGCGCGAUACAGGGUGACAGCCCCGUACACAAAAGCGCAUGUGCUGUGAGCUCGAUGAGUAGGGCGGGACACGUGGUAUCCUGUCUGAAUAUGGGGGGACCAUCCUCCAAGGCUAAAUACUCCUGACUGACCGAUAGUGAACCAGUACCGUGAGGGAAAGGCGAAAAGAACCCCGGCGAGGGGAGUGAAAAAGAACCUGAAACCGUGUACGUACAAGCAGUGGGAGCACCCUUCGGGGUGUGACUGCGUACCUUUUGUAUAAUGGGUCAGCGACUUAUAUUCUGUAGCAAGGUUAACCGAAUAGGGGAGCCGGAGGGAAACCGAGUCUUAAUUGGGCGUUAAGUUGCAGGGUAUAGACCCGAAACCCGGUGAUCUAGCCAUGGGCAGGUUGAAGGUUGGGUAACACUAACUGGAGGACCGAACCGACUAAUGUUGAAAAAUUAGCGGAUGACCUGUGGCUGGGGGUGAAAGGCCAAUCAAACCGGGAGAUAGCUGGUUCUCCCCGAAAGCUAUUUAGGUAGCGCCUCGUGAAUUCAUCUCCGGGGGUAGAGCACUGUUUCGGCUAGGGGGCCAUCCCGGCUUACCAACCCGAUGCAAACUGCGAAUACCGGAGAAUGUUAUCACGGGAGACACACGGCGGGUGCUAACGUCCGUCGUGAAGAGGGAAACAACCCAGACCGCCAGCUAAGGUCCCAAAGUCAUGGUUAAGUGGGAAACGAUGUGGGAAGGCCCAGACAGCCAGGAUGUUGGCUUAGAAGCAGCCAUCAUUUAAAGAAAGCGUAAUAGCUCACUGGUCGAGUCGGCCUGCGCGGAAGAUGUAACGGGGCUAAACCAUGCACCGAAGCUGCGGCAGCGAACGUAUCACCCAAGACAACUUUACGGAGUUGACGAUUGACGGAGCGAAGCGACGUCAAAGCGUUCAUUAAAGUCGAGUUGGCUUAGGGAUACGUUCGUUGGGUAGGGGAGCGUUCUGUAAGCCUGUGAAGGUGUGUCGUGAGGCAUGCUGGAGGUAUCAGAAGUGCGAAUGCUGACAUAAGUAACGAUAAAGCGGGUGAAAAGCCCGCUCGCCGGAAGACCAAGGGUUCCUGUCCAACGUUAAUCGGGGCAGGGUGAGUCGACCCCUAAGGCGAGGCCGAAAGGCGUAGUCGAUGGGAAACGGGUUAAUAUUCCCGUACUUGGUGUUACUGCGAAGGGGGGACGGAGAAGGCUAUGUUGGCCGGGCGACGGUUGUCCCGGUUUAAGGGUGUAGGUGUGUGUUCCAGGUAAAUCCGGUUCACUUUAACACUGAGGCGUGACGACGAGGCACUACGGUGCUGAAGCAACAAAUGCCCUGCUUCCAGGAAAAGCCUCUAAGCAUCAGGUAACACGAAAUCGUACCCCAAACCGACACAGGUGGUCAGGUAGAGAAUACCAAGGCGCUUGAGAGAACUCGGGUGAAGGAACUAGGCAAAAUGGUGCCGUAACUUCGGGAGAAGGCACGCUGACACGUAGGUGAAGUGAUUUACUCAUGGAGCUGAAGUCAGUCGAAGAUACCAGCUGGCUGCAACUGUUUAUUAAAAACACAGCACUGUGCAAACACGAAAGUGGACGUAUACGGUGUGACGCCUGCCCGGUGCCGGAAGGUUAAUUGAUGGGGUCAGCGUAAGCGAAGCUCCUGAUCGAAGCCCCGGUAAACGGCGGCCGUAACUAUAACGGUCCUAAGGUAGCGAAAUUCCUUGUCGGGUAAGUUCCGACCUGCACGAAUGGCGUAAUGAUGGCCAGGCUGUCUCCACCCGAGACUCAGUGAAAUUGAACUCGCUGUGAAGAUGCAGUGUACCCGCGGCAAGACGGAAAGACCCCGUGAACCUUUACUAUAGCUUGACACUGAACAUUGAGCCUUGAUGUGUAGGAUAGGUGGGAGGCUUUGAAGUGUGGACGCCAGUCUGCAUGGAGCCGACCUUGAAAUACCACCCUUUAAUGUUUGAUGUUCUAACGUGGACCCGUAAUCCGGGUUGCGGACAGUGUCUGGUGGGUAGUUUGACUGGGGCGGUCUCCUCCUAAAGAGUAACGGAGGAGCACGAAGGUUGGCUAAUCCUGGUCGGACAUCAGGAGGUUAGUGCAAUGGCAUAAGCCAGCUUGACUGCGAGCGUGACGGCGCGAGCAGGUGCGAAAGCAGGUCAUAGUGAUCCGGUGGUUCUGAAUGGAAGGGCCAUCGCUCAACGGAUAAAAGGUACUCCGGGGAUAACAGGCUGAUACCGCCCAAGAGUUCAUAUCGACGGCGGUGUUUGGCACCUCGAUGUCGGCUCAUCACAUCCUGGGGCUGAAGUAGGUCCCAAGGGUAUGGCUGUUCGCCAUUUAAAGUGGUACGCGAGCUGGGUUUAGAACGUCGUGAGACAGUUCGGUCCCUAUCUGCCGUGGGCGCUGGAGAACUGAGGGGGGCUGCUCCUAGUACGAGAGGACCGGAGUGGACGCAUCACUGGUGUUCGGGUUGUCAUGCCAAUGGCACUGCCCGGUAGCUAAAUGCGGAAGAGAUAAGUGCUGAAAGCAUCUAAGCACGAAACUUGCCCCGAGAUGAGUUCUCCCUGAGACUUAGAGUCUCCUGAAGGAACGUUGAAGACGACGACGUUGAUAGGCCGGGUGUGUAAGCGCAGCGAUGCGUUGAGCUAACCGGUACUAAUGAACCGUGAGGCUUAACCUU